GCCAGACUCCUACGGGAGGCAGCAGUGGGGGAUAUUGCACAAUGGGGGAAACCCUGAUGCAGCGACGCCGCGUGAGUGAAGAAGUAUUUCGGUAUGUAAAGCUCUCUCAGCAGGGAAGAAGAAAGACGGUACCUGAGUAAGAAGCCCCGGCUAACUACGUGCCAGCAGCCGCGGUAAUACGUAGGGGGCAAGCGUUAUCCGGAUUUACUGGGUGUAAAGGGAGCGUAGACGGUAUGGCAAGUCUGAAGUGAAAGCCCCGGGCUCAACCUGGGAACUGCUUUGGAAACUGUUAAACUAGAGUGCUGGAGAGGCAGGCGGAAUUCCUAGUGUAGCGGUGAAAUGCGUAGAUAUUAGGAGGAACACCAGUGGCGAAGGCGGCCUGCUGGACAGUAACUGACGUUGAGGCUCGAAAGCGUGGGGAGCAAACAGGAUUAGAUACCCUCGUA
rnacentral:rRNA from 1 species